CCAGGAUGGUCUGAAGGAGGAGAGGCUGUUUCUUCUUAAAGCUUUCAAGUGGUGUAUAAGUCCCUUUAUGCUGCUAUAAAGGAAUACCCAAGACUGGGUAACUUACAAAGAAAAGAGAUUUAUUUGGCUCAUUGUUCUGCUGGCUAUACAUGAAGCAUAAUGCCAGCAUUUGCUCUGGUGAGGGCCUCAAGAAGCUUAUAAUCAUGGAAGAAGGAGAUGGAGAGCCAGCAUGUCACAUGGAAGCGUGAGAGGAAGCAAGAGAGAGGGGGGAGGAGGUGCUAGGUUGUUUUAAACAACCAGUUCUCUUGUGAACUCAGAGAAAACUCACUCAUUACUGUGAGGACAGCAGCGGCAAGUCAUUCAUGAGGCAUCCACCCCCAUGACUCAAACACCUCCCACUAGGCCCACCUCCAACACCGGAGGCCACAUUUCAACAUGUGAUUUGGAGGGGACAAGCAUCCAAUCCAUAUCAGGUGGGGAAGGUCAGGAGGUGGACAACAGAAUCAUUGUUGCCCAGUUUAGGACUUCUCAAAUUUUAGUGUACAUGGAAAUCACUGGAGUUCUCAUUAAAAUGCAAAUUCUGAUUCCAUAGGUCUGGGAGUGAAGUCAGUGGGUAGAAGAGCUGAUUCAGCAUUGCCAAGGCAUUCCCAGGUGAUCCAGUAUGGCUGGUCUUUGGACCACACUGAGUAGCAAGGCCUUAAAUAAUUUGUAUGUCUUGUGUUUCCUGUUUCAAGCUGAUGCACGAUGUUAGUAGGAUGAGGAAUACAUUUUAUAAGCUAUCCCCCUAUCUGUCAGAAAUGAAGAAUGAAUAAGUAAUGAUUGCAAAGCAUAUGAAAAAUCAUGAGGUCACACAUUCUGUCUUCUGAAUUAACACUUCAAGCAGAUCUGGUUUUUCUCAUGAGAUUGCAAAGCAACUGUUUAUUUGAGCAUCCUCUCCCCUCCCCUCCCCCUCCGCCUCCCCUCCCCUCCCCCUCUGCCUCCUCUCCCCUCUCCCUCCGCCUCCCCUCCCUUCCCUCUCUGCCUCCCCCACCUCCUCCCCUCCCCUCUUUUCUUUUCUCUUUUCUUUUCUUUUUUUCUUUCUUUUCAUCUUAGUCUGUUGCCCAGGCUAGCUCGCUCACUACAGCCUCCACCUCCUGGGUUCAAGCGAUUCUCAUGCCUCAGCCUCCCGAGUAGCUGGGACUACAGGUGUAUGCCACCACACCCGGCUAAUUUUUGUAUUUUUAGUAGAGACAGGUUUUUACCAUGUUGGCCAUGCUGGUCUCAAACUCCUGACCUUAAGUAAGCCGCCUGCCUCAGCCUCCCAAAGUGCUGGGAUUACAGGCAUGAGCCACCAUGCUCAGCCUAUUUGAGGUUAUUUUUCAUUGGUGGGCAUCACGUUCUAUACCACAUUUAUGCAGGAACACAGUAGGACAGCAUGAGACUCAGUCUACCAAUUCCUCUGGCUCUAAAUCAUCUGUUUUCUUCUUCUUUCUCUUACUACCAGGAAGUAAUCCAAUUAUUGCUUAUGCAAAGGGAUGAGAAAUUUCAGGUUUUUCUUGAAUAUUCUCUGGAGAGCUGCAUUUUGGAAUUGUUAUAGUGAGUUUUUAGACCAUUAAUUUGGCUCAUUUUAUGUUGCUUUGGAGCUGCUGUUAUUUUUACAAUUUGUCUUAUCUUGGUGAAACUGUAAGUUCAUUGUAGUUGGAGGUCAUGCCUCUAUCUUUAUAGGACUGGAAGAUUGGAAGUGAACUUUACACUCAUCAAGUCCCGUUUCCUCUUUAAUAUUUGAAUUUCUACAAGCCAGCCUCUGCUUGAAAUACAGUUGGUGAUGGGGAUCUUACUACUUUAUAUUCUAACCUUUGAACGGCUCUAAGUAUGAGAAAGCUUUUCUAUUAUUGAAUUUAGAGUGGUCUCCCUGUGGCUUUUGUCCACUAGCCCAGUUUUAUUGACUGAGGGCAAUUCUUUUGUCUUGAGUGGGGUGUGGACACUUAAUGCAUAUUGUUGGAUAAUGACUUGUUCAGGCCUAGGUCGUGGGGUUCUCUGUGCCUUUGGCAAUUCCUCAUGCAGCAGAGUAGCCUUUAACUUCCGAGCUGUGGAAUAAACCUGGGGCAAGGUCCAAAGCUGCACUGCCAGAAAUUGCCUGAGCCAGGGUGAAGUAAAAUAGUCACUCCUCAUACGGACUUUAUCUUGCUUGAUUACAGGGGUUUACCAUUUCCUGCAUUUCCUUCUUACACCCAUCCUGACUUAAGCCUUAAAUCAAAUGCAGGAUGAAAAUUCGUGAUUACUCAUGAAUUUUCACUCAACAAGAUCAUUCAAUAGGAAUCUUUAAAAUGGUGUCAAUUUACAAAAUAUUUUUUUCUUUAGUCCUUACCUAAUGCAAAAUUUUAAAACUGGCAAAGUUGGACUUUGGUCCUUCUUUCCUAUCCCUCUUCCGGAACCUUUCCACCCUUCCUGUUUUAUGCUCCAUGGGUGAUCUGAUCUCCAGGGAUUCUCCCUUGCAGUAUCAUCUAUGCCUUAGACCAUACAUUUCCUCUUUCCUCUUCAAAACUUACCUGUUUCCACUGUCUUAUUCUUUCAGCAACUGGCUUUAUGCAAUGGGAACUUGGUUGCUAAUGGGUUUUUCUCCCCUUAACAAAUCCUUCAUAAUGUGUAAGAUAGCUCUUGCUUUAUCUGUCUACCUCAGUGUCAUAAUCUCUUAAUCUUGUCAAACACGUGUUUCCAGAUGGCCCUUAUGGAAUGGCUUUAUAGUGAGGAAGGAUAGGUAUCAUGAUAAGGUCAUGGAUGAGAAAAUGUUUUGGUCUGUGUGUCCCUCAGUACAAGUUCACAUCAUGCAUUUCCCUCAUUACAUCAUACUAGUCUCUAUAAACAACAAAACAGCUCUUAUUACAUGGGAUUAUUAAUUACAGCUACUUGCUAUGUUCCAGGUACUGUGUCCAGGGCUUAAUCGAUUUCUCAUUUAAUGUUCACAACAAUCCUGCCAUGUAGGAAGAAUUAUUCUCAUUUUACAGCAAACUGAAGUUCAGAGAGCAUAAGGGAAAUGGUUGUGCUUUAGUCAGGGGUAGGCUGAGGUGGCAUAGCAUGACUCAGCGGGUUUGGAGUGCAGGUGCACAACUCUGCACAUUAUGGAACCACGCCACAUGAGGCGCAUUAGGUGAUCACCCACAUGAGUUCCUGCUUGGCUCAGAGCCACUAUUGUCUGUAAAAGGUAUAACUACCCUGCUGUUGCUGUACAUACAGCUUGCGCCCAGGCUCACUCAUGCCCAGAGAGAGAGUAAAGCCAUGUCAAAACUGUUUAUGCUUCCUCGAGUGUUUUUCCAGCUACCUGCCACUUGCCCACCAACUCCCCUCGGACCUCAGUUAGAACCUAACAGAGAGGUUAGGUAAUUUGCUUAUCAUCACAUAGCUACUACAUUGCAGAGACAGGGUUCAAACCAAGUUCUGUCUGACUGAAGCCCAUGUGGCCUUCUUUUCUCUGAUCACCCGAAGAACAGAAAUCUAGGAUUAGUGAGAUUCCUUAGACAAGCCCUGCUUUGUCCACUUGCAAUGUAACCUUCCUACUUCAUCUAAGUGUGAAAAAACUACCACCUUCUUCUUCCCUGUUCUCUCAGCUUUCAUCUCUCCCAGUUUUCUAUGCUGAGAAAGGCUUUUUCUGGCUUCUACAUGCACAAGAAUAACAAAUAUCUGUUAUUGAAUUAUAAGAAUUUAUUAUGGAAUGGGAGGGGGAAUACUAAAAAAUCCCAUCUGGGGCCAAUUAAAAAGAACUGUGUUCCCAAGUGUACGUGGUUUUUCUUUUUUCAGGAGAAGAACAGCUUCAUCAACUCUUUGGUGCAGGAAGCAUGGCAUGGCUUCAGGGGAGCUGGGUGACUGAGAUAUCUCUGUACUAUUUCUCAGAAGGCAAGAUGGGUUCAUCACCUUUAAAUGACCAAGGCUCUACAGUGUCAGCCUUGGACCGAAGCAUUUGUAUCUGUGCCUAGAUUUGUCACAUUUUUUUAAAGGGCAUCCCCAUGAAAGUUUUUUGGAGGGACGGAGGGAAUAAAAAGAUGCCAAAAUGCUGCUUUCAGGAUAAACACAUCAGUUUGCAAAAAUUCAUAGAGUUUCCCAGGGUGGCCACCCACAGAGGAGGCAACAUCUGGUGGCCAUGCUGUCACAACAGGGAGAGCAGUGCUUGGGCACAGGACAAAACAAAACAUUCCUUAUAACUGGAUGGAAUACAUGUAGUUAGACUGGAGCCACGAGGCAACAGACCUCUGCAGGUCCAGAAAGUGCUGAGCUGAGAAAGUCACAGGACCCUAUGUGCAG
rnacentral:lncRNA from 1 species